CUCUUCACAGUCUGAAAUCUUCCAUCCUUCAGCCAGCACCUCCCUCCCGCCUGGACUGCGCUAGGCACACAAUUCAAUUGCACGAUGCCUGAACAGU
rnacentral:lncRNA from 1 species